AUCCAUUUGACGAGUCGCAAACAAGACGAAACACACGUCAAACUGGAU
rnacentral:hammerhead_ribozyme from 1 species